GUUAGUGCCUGAAAUAAAGAGUGAGAGAUAAGAGUCCCAGCUGCCCCAAAUGGUAACUUUUGACAGAGGGAACUUCGGAGGGUAAGAGGGUUCUGUUCUAUUGUCUAUCAGGAGGCACAGGUUUGCCCCAACUUCUACAGUGACUGCAGGUUCUCAGGGGCCCAAUUUGAUAGAGCUCAGUUUGUCCUCUUUAUCCAGCCCCAGCAUGGAGAGAAGAGGUUCAGGCUGAGGGGGCCUGGAGAGUCAGGUUUCUUUAUGUCUUGCAUAUGGAACAAACAUUUUUCUGGUGUCAAUAGCCUGAAGCCAGAGGGCGUGACUGUCUAUCAGGCUGAAUUUUCUUAUGGACAUCAUAUGCUUUAAUCAGGUUUCUGGGUGAUGGCAGGUGAUUAGCUUUUGUGUCCCUUUUUGAUGUCUGAGAUGUUCUUGAUUGGGCUAUUUCUAAGGUAAAGUGACCUUUGGGAAAUAUCAUGGUAACUCAUUCAUCAGGGCUCACAGCCCUAUAUUUCUUGGUCAAAAUGUAGAACUCAGAAGGAAUUGCUGCAGCUGUUGUGGGUAAGCAUUAAAUGAUGCUAUCUGAUCAGUGUAGGAAACAGAAGGCUCUGGAGAGAGGACCUCUGUGGCUGAGUGUGGGCAGCGGCUGACUGGAACUGGUGCAGGGCUGGAAGGAGGGGUGAAACACCUGACAUUUGCAAUUUGAAGAGCAGAAUACUUACUCUUUUGGUUCAUGCUGACUGGCUCCAAGACAAAGGCCUGCUGGUGGGAGGACCUGGGAAGAAAAGGCUUCUCAUGUCAUGGUAACCAAAAGGGAGACAAUGCAAAGAAAAGCCAGAGAAUGAUGGUACCUUUCAGUUUAUGCCCACAUAAUCCUGCUCCUAGCCAGGUUACACUUCUAACAGCACAUGCAGUUGCUAAACUCAUUAGAGGGUGAAUUCAGUGAUGAACAUACUCACUCCAUGGUCUACUCACCUUCACUACCCCACCUGAGAUUUAGGGGGGAUGUUUUAAGUAAAUCUUACAAUUCUGUUCUGGUCCUGAAAAGAUUUAUCAUCUCUUUGUGUAAAAUGUACUUACCCAAUCACCAAGACUCACCAGGGUUUUAAAAGUUCAAGAACUAUUUUUAGGAAAAGUCCUAGUCUAAAAUUUCCUUUGAGACUGAAGGCAUACUCUUAGCCAUGAGCCACUGUUAAAAAUAUUUAAAAUACUACCAACAUAUAAUGGCACAUCAUAAACCUUCUAUUCCAAAA